AUAGAAGAACAGUCCCUUACAUGAACACAAUAAACACAAGGACUCAAACAAUAGAAGAACAGUCCCUUACAUGAACACAAUAAACGCAAGGACUCAAACAAUAGAAGCAGCAGACAGACAUUACUGAUCAUAAACAGGUGGGCACAUAUCUUUAAUAACUAAACAUGUUCUGCUGCUGUGUUGUUCCCCACAGAAUACAAGGAAUCAAUACUCAGUUUAAAGUCAUCAUAACAUGAUCGAUAGCUUUUCCCAGAGCGCUUGCAUUAUGAAUAUAAUAUAAAAUCUGCUUUACAUCAUGUUAGGCUUAUCAAAAUAUAAACUGAUAUCAGAGCCCCGCAGUAUGAAACUGUUAACGUCUGAAAAUAGACACAAUAUUGUAGUAUAAAAAUGUUAAAAUUGACCAUCAAUGAAUAAUUAAAAUACAUCUGACAUUAGAAAUAUAAUCUUUGUAAAACCUAUUAAGUUAACCUGAU